AACGAACGCUGGCGGCAUGCCUAACACAUGCAAGUCGAACGAGACCUUCGGGUCUAGUGGCGCACGGGUGCGUAACGCGUGGGAACCUGCCCUUAGGUUCGGAAUAACUCCCCGAAAGGGGUGCUAAUACCGGAUAAUGUCUUCGGACCAAAGAUUUAUCGCCUUUGGAUGGGCCCGCGUUGGAUUAGCUAGUUGGUAGGGUAAAAGCCUACCAAGGCGACGAUCCAUAGCUGGUCUGAGAGGAUGAUCAGCCACACUGGGACUGAGACACGGCCCAGACUCCAACGGGAGGCAGCAGUGGGGAAAAUUGGACAAGGGGCGAAAGCCUGAUCCAGCAAGGCCGGGUGAGUGAUGAAGGCCUUGGGGUUGAAAAGCUCUUUUACCCGGGAUGAAAAGGACAGUACCGGGAAAAUAAGCCCCGGCUAACUCCGU
rnacentral:rRNA from 1 species